ACGGGGUGCAGCAGGCGCGAAACCUUUACAAUGCGCGAAAGCGUGAUAGGGGAACUCUGAGUGGCAGCCGGCUUUUGCCGACUGUCUUUUGGCGAACCUAAACCGUUCGCAGAAUAAGUUCUGGGUAAGACCAGUGCCAGCCGCCAUGUGCUCACUGCACAAGAGCGCACGGUACGCGGUAAUACUGGCAGAACGAGUGGUGCCCACGAAUAUUGGGUCUAAAGAGACCGUAGCUGGCCCGUUAAGUCCACUGUGAAAUCUUGGGGCUCAACCUCAAGGCGUGCAGUGGAUACUGGCAGGCUUGAGAGCGGGGGAGGUCAGGGGUACUUACGGGGUAUGAGUAAAAUCAGUUGAUCCUGUAAGGACCACCAGUGGCGAAGGCGCCUGACCAAAACGCGUCUGACAGUGAGGGUCGAAGGCUAGGAGAACGAAUCGGAUUAGAUACCCGAGUAGCCCUAGCAGUAAAUCAUGCAGACUGUGGUGUUGCCGAAGCUUCGGGCUUCGGCAGUGCUGUAGCGUAGGUGUUAAGUCUGCCACCUGGGGAGUACGGCCGCAAGGUUGAAACUUAAAGGAAUUGGCGGGGGAGCA
rnacentral:rRNA from 1 species